UUUCGGCGGGCUAAAUCAGUUCGUUUUUGCGAUCACAUCACAUGGGAUGAGAAACUGCGAAAAUCGAUAGAAAAUGGAAAAUACUGAAAUAAAAUGAAAGCAAAACAUUUUCCAAAACUGUAAUUUUUGACAGUUUUACAGAGUUCCCAAGAUCAUAUCAGUCACAAUGGCUAGUGGUAGUUCGAAAGAGAUUAAGAUGGAGCUGCACACAAAACACGGAAGGAAAAUAAUCUUUUCGCGAUUGAUCACUAGUGCAGCCUGGUACCGAUCUUGAAGAAUUUUUGGCAUAUCGAUAUAUUAUGCUACGACCCCAGGUCUAUUUAACGAUGUCCUGAAAUCAACAGUUUGGGCAAUGAGAUUGGAUAAACACAGCAAAGAUAUUGACUUUAUCAAGAGCAUACAGAUCAACUCCGUGGAGCUAUUCUGAUAACGUCGGAAAUUAAUUGUAAAUAAGUUCUCGUAGUUCAGUUUCAGAUUACUUAACUAUUUUUAAUAUUUAAAGUAUUUUAAAUUAUCGUUGGUUUAAUUGUAUAAGUUUUGUUUCUGUGUAUCCAACUUAAUGGUGUAGUUUUUAGUCAACAUCCAUGCUAAAUUAACAGUUUAA